rnacentral:rRNA from 1 species
AUUGAACGCUGGCGGCAGGCCUAACACAUGCAAGUCGAGCGAGCGGCGGACGGGUGAGUAAUGUAUGGGGACUGCCCGAUAGAGGGGGAUAACUACUGGAAACGGUAGCUAAUACCGCAUACUAUCGGAUAACCCAUAUGGGAUUAGCUAGUAGGUGAGGUAAUGGCUCACCUAGGCGACGAUCCCUAGCUGGUCUGAGAGGAUGAUGAGCCAACCUGGGAUGGAUACAGGGCACAGACUCCUGGGGAGGCAGCAGAGGGGAGUUUGGCACUACGGGCGCAAGCCUGAUGCAGCCAUGCGGCCUGUAUGAAGAAGGCCCUAGCGUUGUCAAGUACUUUCAGUCGGGAGGCGUUACCGACAUCAUAAGCACCGGCUAACUCCGUGCCAGCCGCCGCGGUAAUUC